AUUCCAGUGCCCUGCUCAAGGUGGAUUUUACGCCAUUCCUGGAACCUGCGGAGGCAACUACUACUCUUGCAUCAACGGAGUUGCCUAUGUGUUGACCUGUCCUGGAAGUUCCAUUUUUGAUCCGGCGGUGGGCGUUUGCGUCCCGAAAGAAGUUGCGUCAUGUCUUGAUGAAACUUCCACACCUGUCUCGACUGUAUCGCCUACGCCUACGCCUACAUCGACGACGACUACUACUCAAUCCCCCGGCACAUUUAUCUGUCCCAGUGAAUUCGGAUUCUUUCCCACUGGUAUCCCAUGUGACGAUGAUUUCUGGAGAUGCUCCAACGGUCUAUCUUAUCUCAUGAGCUGUCCACCAACUACCAUUUGGUAUCAAGAUCAGACAAUCUGUGACUACCCGUACAACGUUCCGGGCUGCGCUUAACCAAAAUUGUCACUGGUCGUCGCCAUCAUAUAAGCCCCUAAAGAUUCAAUUAUAAAAGAUUCCAGUACGAAAAUAAUUCCCAAAAAUUCAAAUGCCGAUCAAUAAAGAUUUGACAUUAUAAACAUAGUAUGCAGAACAAAAAGAGGAUGUUUAAAAAGAAAACAUUUAUUAUUAGAUUUGAUGCGAAGCUUUUAUAAAAUUCUGAAUACAUGUGAGUCGCUCUUCAA
rnacentral:misc_RNA from 1 species